AAGUCGUAACAAGGUUUCCGUAGGUGAACCUGCGGAAGGAUCAUUAACACGUAUCCAACGUUAAACAACCCUGUGAACUUUAAGCCUACUCUUGCAGCCCAUGAGGAACAGCAAUCCCGGUAAAUCAUUGCCAAACAGUUUUGAUUCGGGACCUCUGUCCAAAAGGAGUUGCAAUUGAGUGGUAGAUGCAGUGGCAUGGCUUCCCCAAGCAGUUAGUGAAUGACAGUGUCACUGACUGUGUAAGGAUAACGCCUCACGGUUGCCAGAGGUCGAUCACCGACCGGCAGACAUGUCACAUAGAAAAUGCCCCGCCUAGUGGUAACGCGCUAGGUAAAAAAAACCGAACAACUGUUAACAAUGGAUAUCUUGGUUCUC
rnacentral:misc_RNA from 1 species